rnacentral:lncRNA from 1 species
CUGAACAAGAAUUUACAUGUUUUCCAGCCUUUUGAGAAGUAGUACACUUUAUGAAAGAUUUUCUUCUGCUGUGAUUGACAAAUGUUCUUUUUCAGUAGAGUGAGAAAAAAUUACCUUUAAGGCCAGAGGGAAUCAUUUAAUAAGUGCUUAAGGGCAAGAGAUGAAGAUGAGAUGUUUGCUACAGAAGAAACAGGAAAAUCCAAAUAGGAGAGAAAUGAACACUGCCUUCAAUAGCAGCUCAGUUGGUGGGAGUGCAGGAUAUGUGAAGAAGGAUAAGAGGUACUGGAGGCUAGAGCUUCAAGACAGAUUCAGUGUUGCUGCCCAGGUGAAUCUACACUACAUCUGCUGUUGGCAUUUUCACCUUUUAAUCCAGCAACAAGUUGAGGUUGAAGUCAGUGACAAUGGAGAAAGCCCAAUCUCUAACUGGAACAGGUACUAACAGCCUAUAAUGACUUUUUAUUAUUCUUGCAUUCCCCUUUGCUGAUUCCUUUACAAUG